UUAAGCGACUAAGCGUACACGGUGGAUGCCCUGGCAGUCAGAGGCGAUGAAGGACGUGCUAAUCUGCGAAAAGCGUCGGUAAGGUGAUAUGAACCGUUACAGCCGGCGAUGUCCGAAUGGGGAAACCCAGUGCAAUUCGUUGCACUAUCGUUAACUGAAUACAUAGGUUAACGAGGCGAACCGGGGGAACUGAAACAUCUAAGUACCCCGAGGAAAAGAAAUCAACCGAGAUUCCCCCAGUAGCGGCGAGCGAACGGGGAGCAGCCCGGAGUCUGAAUCAGCUUGUGUGUUAGUGGAAGCGUCUGGAAAGUCGCAGGGUACAGGGUGAUACUCCCGUACACUAAAACACACAGGCUGUGAACUCGAAGAGUAGGGCGGGACACGUGGUAUCCUGUCUGAAUAUGGGGGGACCAUCCUCCAAGGCUAAAUACUCCUGACUGACCGAUAGUGAACCAGUACCGUGAGGGAAAGGCGAAAAGAACCCCGGCGAGGGGAGUGAAAAAGAACCUGAAACCGUGUACGUACAAGCAGUAGGAGCCCACUAGUUGGGUGACUGCGUACCUUUUGUAUAAUGGGUCAGCGACUUAUAUUCUGUAGCAAGGUUAACCGUAUAGGGGAGCCGCAGGGAAACCGAGUCUUAACUGGGCGUUAAGUUGCAGGGUAUAGACCCGAAACCCGGUGAUCUAGCCAUGGGCAGGUUGAAGGUUGGGUAACACUAACUGGAGGACCGAACCGACUAAUGUUGAAAAAUUAGCGGAUGACUUGUGGCUGGGGGUGAAAGGCCAAUCAAACCGGGAGAUAGCUGGUUCUCCCCGAAAGCUAUUUAGGUAGCGCCUCGUGAAUUCAUCUUCGGGGGUAGAGCACUGUUUCGGCUAGGGGGUCAUCCCGACUUACCAACCCGAUGCAAACUACGAAUACCGAAGAAUGUUAUCACGGGAGACACACGGCGGGUGCUAACGUCCGUCGUGAAGAGGGAAACAACCCAGACCGCCAGCUAAGGUCCCAAAGUCAUGGUUAAGUGGGAAACGAUGUGGGAAGGCCCAGACAGCCAGGAUGUUGGCUUAGAAGCAGCCAUCAUUUAAAGAAAGCGUAAUAGCUCACUGGUCGAGUCGGCCUGCGCGGAAGAUGUAACGGGGCUAAACCAUGCACCGAAGCUGCGGCAGCGACACUAUGUGUUGUUGGGUAGGGGAGCGUUCUGUAAGCCGUUGAAGGUGGCCUGUGAAGGUUGCUGGAGGUAUCAGAAGUGCGAAUGCUGACAUAAGUAACGAUAAUGCGGGUGAAAAACCCGCACGCCGGAAGACCAAGGGUUCCUGUCCAACGUUAAUCGGGGCAGGGUGAGUCGACCCCUAAGGCGAGGCCGAAAGGCGUAGUCGAUGGGAAACAGGUUAAUAUUCCUGUACUUGGUGUUACUGCGAAGGGGGGACGGAGAAGGCUAUGUUGGCCGGGCGACGGUUGUCCCGGUUUAAGCAUGUAGGCGGAUGUUCCAGGUAAAUCCGGAACGUCACUAACGCUGAGGUGUGAUGACGAGGCACUACGGUGCUGAAGUGACAAAUGCCCUGCUUCCAGGAAAAGCCUCUAAGCAUCAGGUAACAUCAAAUCGUACCCCAAACCGACACAGGUGGUCAGGUAGAGAAUACCAAGGCGCUUGAGAGAACUCGGGUGAAGGAACUAGGCAAAAUGGUGCCGUAACUUCGGGAGAAGGCACGCUGACGGUAGGUGAAGUGACUUGCUCACGGAGCUGAAAUCAGUCGAAGAUACCAGCUGGCUGCAACUGUUUAUUAAAAACACAGCACUGUGCAAACACGAAAGUGGACGUAUACGGUGUGACGCCUGCCCGGUGCCGGAAGGUUAAUUGAUGGGGUUAUCCUCGCGGAGAAGCUCUUGAUCGAAGCCCCGGUAAACGGCGGCCGUAACUAUAACGGUCCUAAGGUAGCGAAAUUCCUUGUCGGGUAAGUUCCGACCUGCACGAAUGGCGUAAUGAUGGCCAGGCUGUCUCCACCCGAGACUCAGUGAAAUUGAACUCGCUGUGAAGAUGCAGUGUACCCGCGGCAAGACGGAAAGACCCCGUGAACCUUUACUAUAGCUUGACACUGAACACUGGUCCUUGAUGUGUAGGAUAGGUGGGAGGCUUUGAAGUGUGGACGCCAGUCUGCAUGGAGCCAUCCUUGAAAUACCACCCUUUAAUGGCUGGUGUUCUAACGUGGGCCCGUAAUCCGGGUUGCGGACAGUGUCUGGUGGGUAGUUUGACUGGGGCGGUCUCCUCCUAAAGAGUAACGGAGGAGCACGAAGGUCAGCUAAUCCUGGUCGGACAUCAGGAGGUUAGUGCAAUGGCAUAAGCUGGCUUGACUGCGAGCGUGACGGCGCGAGCAGGUGCGAAAGCAGGUCAUAGUGAUCCGGUGGUUCUGAAUGGAAGGGCCAUCGCUCAACGGAUAAAAGGUACUCCGGGGAUAACAGGCUGAUACCGCCCAAGAGUUCAUAUCGACGGCGGUGUUUGGCACCUCGAUGUCGGCUCAUCACAUCCUGGGGCUGAAGUAGGUCCCAAGGGUAUGGCUGUUCGCCAUUUAAAGUGGUACGCGAGCUGGGUUUAGAACGUCGUGAGACAGUUCGGUCCCUAUCUGCCGUGGGCGCUGGAGAAUUGAGGGGGGCUGCUCCUAGUACGAGAGGACCGGAGUGGACGCAUCACUGGUGUUCGGGUUGUCAUGCCAAUGGCAUUGCCCGGUAGCUAAAUGCGGAAGAGAUAAGUGCUGAAAGCAUCUAAGCACGAAACUUGCCCCGAGAUGAGUUCUCCCUGACCCUUUAAGGGUCCUGAAGGAACGUUGAAGACGACGACGUUGAUAGGCCGGGUGUGUAAGCGCAGCGAUGCGUUGAGCUAACCGGUACUAAUGAACCGUGAGGCUUAACCUU
rnacentral:rRNA from 1 species